UACGAAGGGGGCUAGCGUUGUUCGGAAUCACUGGGCGUAAAGCGCAUGCAGGCGGAUUGUUAAGUCGGGGGUGAAAUCCCGAGGCUCAACCUCGGAACUGCCUUCGAUACUGGAAGUCUUGAGUCCGGGAGAGGUGAGUGGAACUCCGAGUGUAGAGGUGAAAUUCGUAGAUAUUCGGAAGAACACCAGUGGCGAAGGCGGCUCACUGGCCCGGUACUGACGCUGAGAUACGAAAGCGUGGGGAGCAACCAGG
rnacentral:rRNA from 1 species